GACGAACGCUGGCGGCGUGCUUAACACAUGCAAGUCGAACGGAAAGGCCCUGCUUUUGCGGGGUGCUCGAGUGGCGAACGGGUGAGUAACACGUGAGUAACCUGCCCUUGACUUUGGGAUAACUUCAGGAAACUGGGGCUAAUACCGGAUAGGAGCUCCUGCUGCAUGGUGGGGGUUGGAAAGUUUCGGCGGUUGGGGAUGGACUCGCGGCUUAUCAGCUUGUUGGUGGGGUAGUGGCUUACCAAGGCUUUGACGGGUAGCCGGCCUGAGAGGGUGACCGGCCACAUUGGGACUGAGAUACGGCCCAGACUCCUACGGGACGCAGCAGUGGGGAAUAUUGCACAAUGGGCGGAAGCCUGAUGCAGCAGCGCCGCGUGCGGGAUGACGGCCUUCGGGUUGUAAACCGCUUUCGCCUGUGACGAAGCGUGAGUGACGGUAAUGGGUAAAGAAGCACCGGCUAACUACGUG
rnacentral:rRNA from 1 species